ACUAAUAAAUACGUAUAGACGGAAAGGUAGCACCCGCGGAAAAGCCUCAUUUAAAUAACAUUUGCAUAUAACGUACAGAUACUCCAUAGAAGCUCCAUGGUGAUAAGCGUAUUUUUUACCACUUUCGGCCACACCUCCUGGGAGACAUUUGAACCGAAUCCUAAGCCCCCAUUUGCAUAUUGCUAAUGAAUCAUUUAUUUUUUCUUUGCGUACUCGCAAGAUACUGUGAUUUGAUUGGACAUUACCUCAUGAAUAAUAUAUUUUUCUAUUGAAAUUCGUACGUCAUAAUUUGACCCCUAUCUAAAAGGUGACGUCACCCGCACAGAAGAAGGUUAUGUCCUUGAAAGAUUUUCGACAUAGAACAUGAUGCUGCUUCACAUCCUCAUUUAAAGACUCAAGAAUUACAAGACCAAAUUAAGCUGCAGGACCCUCCUGAUUCAAAAAGACAUGGAACAUGACUCUGCUUCACAUCCUUUGUUUUAGAGACUCAAGAAAUACAAGACCAAAUUAAGGGUUUGUUUUUUUAAUUCCAACAAUAAUUUUCUGGUGGAAGAAUUAGGGAAUAAUGCAUUGACAAUAUGCCAAACAUCCUAUAUCAAACUGAAUUACUGCAUGUAUUUACAAUAGAGUAUUGUAACCGCUUCCCCCCUCACCACUGACCAAACAAAACCCACAAACAAUUUAAGAGGGAUAGGGUUACUUUAGGGGUAAUUAUCCUUGCUGAUCGUAGCAGUAGUUUUUACAAAUAUGGAUGUAGAUAAUGAUGAUGUUUAUAAAUGAUAAUAAUACUUCGAAUAAUAAAUUUAUUACAAUGACAUAACAGGAAUGAUGAAUAAAUAUGAUAAUUCAGCACUAUAAUAUGU